rnacentral:rRNA from 1 species
UACAGAGGUCUCAAGCGUUGUUCGGAUUCAUUGGGCGUAAAGGGUGUGUAGGUGGCGCGCUAAGUCGGGUGUGAAAUUUCGGAGCUUAACUCCGAAACUGCAUUCGAUACUGGCGUGCUUGAGGACUGGAGAGGAGACUGGAAUUUACGGUGUAGCAGUGAAAUGCGUAGAUAUCGGGAGGAACACCAGUGGCGAAGGCGAUCAUCUGGGGUUGUUCUGACGCUGAGGAGCGAAAGCUAGGGGAGCAAACGGG